rnacentral:misc_RNA from 1 species
CAGGACUCGCAAGGCUCCUACAACCCUGUGAACCUACUAUACGAACGUUGCUUCGGCGGGUGCGCCCCGGGGAUUCGUUCCCGCGGCGCGUCAGCCCGCCGGCAGCCUACAAAUUCUGUUUCUUUGCGUUGGCAUCUCGAGAAAAACAAAUAAGUUA